UACAGAGACUGCAAGCGUUAUUCGGAUUCACUGGGCGUAAAGAGUGCGUAGGCGGUGAGAUGUGUCAGGCGUGAAAUCUCAAGGCUCAACUUUGAAAUUGCACCUGAAACUAUUUCGCUAGAGAACUGGAGAGGGUAGCGGAAUUCACGGUGUAGCAGUGAAAUGCGUAGAUAUCGUGAGGAACACCAAUGGCGAAGGCAGCUACCUGGACAGUAACUGACGCUAAAGCACGAAAGCGUGGGGAGCAAAA
rnacentral:rRNA from 1 species